AUGGACCCCGCUCAGAUGUACGCUGUUGUUGUGAGCAUCACAAACACCUCGCGCAUUCUCCUGCGGUAUUGGCAGAGCCUAGCCAAGAGUCACCGUGCGGAAGAAUAUGAUGCCACACAAACAGCUGUGCUGGAAGCCAUGGAAUGGAGCAAUUCGCACACGCUGGCAGCGGCAGCCGGGCUUGUUGACACAGUGGAACGCCUCUUCUGGGCCUGGGAAACAAGCACAGACUGGUGGGACCGCAUCGUGAUGUGGGCUACAAACAAUGUGGAUACAGAUAAACUCAUCUUCGGGAAAGGGACCACUGUCACAGUAGAACCAAAAAAUCCAGGGACUUCCAGUCCAUCCGUCUUUGUUGUGAAAUCUGCACCGCCAAAACAAAGCGAUGGCCAAAAGUUGACGGCGGCUUGUUUAGCUAAGGAUUUCUACCCCAAGGCCAUAGAAGUAAACAUGCGUCCUGAGACAGACUCGGUAUACAAAUCGAAAGAAGGCAUUCUCUCUUCAAAUGGGAAAUACAGCAUGAUCCAGGUGGUGAAGGUUGACCCGAAUGAAAAAGUGGAGUGCUUUGUUAAACACGUCGAAGAAUAUUUUAAUAAAACGCAGCCUCAAUCAGCUCCCAUCUCGGCCCCAAUCAAUAACACUCAAGUGUGUGAAUCUUCAAAUCCCACGUUCGAAGAGCCAAACAUGGAAAAAGUGAACAUGCUGUCAGUGACUGUGCUGGGUCUGCGAGUUCUGCUUGCCAAAAGCAUCGCCUUCAACAUGCUCAUGACGGUCAAGUUGUUCAUUUUCUGAGGUUGUGACGAGUGAACCAGCAACGGGCUGAGGCCAGGAGACAGGGACCAGUGCCAGAGACUUCAGUUGGGGCAGAUAAACCAGUGUAACGCUAUUGGAGUGAGUUGGAACAAAUCCCCAACUGGUGUAAAUGGACGUAGCGCCUUCGGAGUCAAUGGGCCACAUCCCCAACUGCUGUCAAUCGGCGACUUCAAUACGUCUAUCCCAAUUAUCACCUUCUCCGGAUUUGUCCCCAGAUCUUCUUUUCCAUGUUUUAAAUUAUUCAGUUUUUUCUGUUCUCCUUUCCCUUCAUUGCUAGUUAGUUCUGACUCUUAACUGAUGUAUCACAAGAUAGUAAGUACUUGUAUUCUUUUUCAGUCUUCUGUUUAAUAGGAAUAUUUAGCGGGAAGUUUCCCUACCACAGUAUUACACUGAGGCUUCCAAAUCUCUUAGGCAGCUUUGCAAAAUCUCAGUUUGAUUUUUUCACUAUAUAAAAAUACUGUUUUAUUGCUUAGAAAAUCCAUUCACGGCUGAAGGAUGUUAUCAUUUUAGUGUAGAAAAUUUGCUCCAGGUCUGUCACUGGUAUAAAUUGGUACAACUCCAUUGACUUCAACAGAGCUGUGCUGAUACAUACCAGCUGAGGGUGUAUUGACAUAUGUAUUCACAAUAUUUUUAAUAGCUAGUAAUUUCACCUUGGAGAUCUGUGCAUUUAUAUGGAACCGGUGGUUGUAGCUUUCAGUGCUUACUACUGAAAUAAUAAAGGUGAUUGUGUAA